UGAGUACGAGCUGCUACGGCAGCGAAGUGGGUGAUGUCAAGCUUCCAAGAAAAGCCCUAUACCCGUUAAGGCAUGACGGCCUGUACCCGAAACCGACACAGGUGGGGUGGUAGAGAAUACCGAGGGGCGCGAGAUAACUCUCUCUAAGGAACUCGGCAAAAUGGCCCCGUAACUUCGGGAGAAGGGGUGCCACCGCAAGGUGGUCGCAGUGAAGAGGCCCAGGCGACUGUUUACCAAAAACACAGGUCUCCGCUAAGUCGCAAGACGAUGUAUGGGGGCUGACGCCUGCCCAGUGCCGGAAGGUUAAGGAAGCUGGUCAGCGCAAGCGAAGCUAGCGACUGAAGCCCCGGUGAACGGCGGCCGUAACUAUAACGGUCCUAAGGUAGCGAAAUUCCUUGUCGGGUAAGUUCCGACCCGCACGAAAGGCGUAACGAUCUGGGCGCUGUCUCGGAGAGAGGCUCGGCGAAAUAGAAUUGUCUGUGAAGAUGCGGACUACGUGCACCCGGACAGAAAGACCCUAUGAAGCUUUACUGUAGCUUGGUAUUGUGCCCGGGCUCUGAAUGCGCAGGAUAGGUGGGAGGCUUUGAUCCAUUGCUUGUGGGUGAUGGUGAGCCAACGGUGAGAUACCACUCUUUCAGAGCUAGGGUUCUAACCCUCACCCGUUAUCCGGGGAGGGGACAGUAUCAGGUGGGCAGUUUGACUGGGGCGGUCGCCUCCUAAAAGGUAACGGAGGCGCGCAAAGGUUUGCUCAGGCUGGUUGGAAAUCAGCCGACGAGUGUAAAAGCAGAAGCAAGCUUGACUGUGAGACCAACAAGUCAAACAGGGACGAAAGUCGGCUUUAGUGAUCCGACGGUUCUGAGUGUAAGGGCCGUCGCUCAACGGAUAAAAGUUACUCUAAGGAUAACAGGCUGAUCUCCCCCAAGAGUUCACAUCGACGGGGAGGUUUGGCACCUCGAUGUCGGCUCAUCGCAACCUGGGGCUGAAGUCGGUCCCAAGGGUUGGGCUGUUCGCCCAUUAAAGCGGUACGCGAGCUGGGUUCAGAACGUCGUGAGACAGUUCGGUCCAUAUCCGGUGCAUGCGUAAGAACAUUGAGAGGAGUUCUCCCUAGUACGAGAGGACCGGGAGGAACGCACCUCUGGUGUACCAGUUAUCGUGCCAACGGUAAACGCUGGGUAGCCAUGUGCGGAGAGGAUAACCGCUGAAAGCAUCUAAGUGGGAAGCCCACCUCAAGAUGAGUGUUCUCAUGGCUUAAGCCAGUAAGGUCACGGGAAGAACACCCGUUGAUAGGCUCUACGUGGAAGCGCAGCAAUGUGUGAAGCGGAGGAGUACUAAUAGACC
rnacentral:rRNA from 1 species